rnacentral:rRNA from 1 species
CUACGGGCGGCAGCAGUGGGGAAUAUUGGACAAUGGGGGAAACCCUGACCCAGCAAUGCCGCGUGUGUGAAGAAGGCCUGCGGGUUGUAAAGCACUUUCGGUUGGGAGGACUGCUUCUAGCACUAAUAUUGUUGGAAGUUGACGUUACCUUCAGAAGAAGCACCGGCUAACUCCGUGCCAGCAGCCGCGGUAAUACGGAGGGUGCAAGGGUUAAUCGGAAUUACUGGGCGUAAAGCGCGCGUAGGCGGCUAGAUCAGUCGGGUGUGAAAGCCCCGGGCUUAACCUGGGAACUGCAUCCGAUACUGUCUAGCUUGAGUACAGGAGAGGAGAGUGGAAUUCCACAUGUAGCGGUGAAAUGCGUAGAUAUGUGGAGGAACACCAAUGGCGAAGGCAGCUCUCUGGCCUGAUACUGACGCUGAGGUGCGAAAGCGUGGGGAGCAAACAGGAUUAGAUACCCUAGUAGUC